GUGACGACUGCCCGCCAAAACCAAGACCUGACAACGGCCAUGUGUGAAAGUGAAUGCCUGUGACCUCAAGAAGUACCUUCAAUAUGAAUAAGUUAUUGGAUUUUCCCGAUGUUGAUGAUGUGUAAAAUUGUCCUCUUAACACCUUUCUCGGGACUUUUUGGGGACAAUAUUAAAAUUCAGAAGAGUUUUUAAUAUUUUUGGAUGGAAAGCAGCAAUACAUGCAAUGUCUUUGCAGAAAUAAACCGGGAAAGAAGAACCAAGAACCUAAUCAAAAGGCUUAGUUUUUGGUGCCUUUGACAUUUAUAUUUUAAUUCUGUGCUAUGUCUUUCAAGUACAGUAUAUCUCGAAAAACUUGAUAUGACGAAAAAUUAUUUCUCCCCUUUUGUAUAUUUUUCUAAUGUUAUUUUUCAUUCUUAUGUUGAAGCGUUUUUAAUCAAAACCUUGUUAUGUGGAAUAUUUUUCGAAGUCAAAUAUGACUUUUUCGGAAAAACCGCAGUUUAUU